rnacentral:lncRNA from 1 species
UGGGCGAUAUCUUUUUGCGCCAAAAAGUAACUCAUUUGCGCCACAACUUAUUUGCGCCAAUACAUCUUUUGCGCCACCUAAUUUUCAAAACCAUAGGUAUAAUUUGCGCCAAUAAAAUAAUCAUAUAAUUGCGCCAAUUCUAUUUAUCUUUAUUCAUAUAUAACAACUAAAUGAUUGACUAGGUAACAUCAGCAAAAAAUCCUCUUACAUUGUACAUAGAAAUUUUAAAUUAGCCUCGCAUCCUAAUAAAAUUAUCCCGCUUUCUGAAUCGUUACACAAUACAAAGUCAUCAUCUUUGUUUGUAACAACACCAAUAUCAUCCAAUAUUCUGUGAAAUUCUGCUUGAUUUUUAGGUUGAGC